rnacentral:rRNA from 1 species
GGCGACUAUACAUGCAAGUCGAGCGGACAGAAGGGAGCUUGCUCCCGGAUGUUAGCGGCGGACGGGUGAGUAACACGUGGGUAACCUGCCUGUAAGACUGGGAUAACUCCGGGAAACCGGAGCUAAUACCGGAUAGUUCCUUGAACCGCAUGGUUCAAGGAUGAAAGACGGUUUCGGCUGUCACUUACAGAUGGACCCGCGGCGCAUUAGCUAGUUGGUGAGGUAACGGCUCACCAAGGCGACGAUGCGUAGCCGACCUGAGAGGGUGAUCGGCCACACUGGGACUGAGACACGGCCCAGACUCCUACGGGAGGCAGCAGUAGGGAAUCUUCCGCAAUGGACGAAAGUCUGACGGAGCAACGCCGCGUGAGUGAUGAAGGUUUUCGGAUCGUAAAGCUCUGUUGUUAGGGAAGAACAAGUGCAAGAGUAACUGCUUGCACCUUGACGGUACCUAACCAGAAAGCCACGGCUAACUACGUGCCAGCAGCCGCGGUAAUACGUAGGUGGCAAGCGUUGUCCGGAAUUAUUGGGCGUAAAGGGCUCGCAGGCGGUUUCUUAAGUCUGAUGUGAAAGCCCCCGGCUCAACCGGGGAGGGUCAUUGGAAACUGGGAAACUUGAGUGCAGAAGAGGAGAGUGGAAUUCCACGUGUAGCGGCGAAAUGCGUAGAGAUGUGGAGGAACACCAGUGGCGAAGGCGACUCUCUGGGCUGUAACUGACGCUGAGGAGCGAAAGCGCGGAGAGCGAACUUGAUUAGAUAUCCUGGUAGUCCACGCCGGUGCACGAUGACUGCUAAGUGGUAGAGGAUUUUCCGCCCCUUAGAGCUGGAGCUAACGCGUUUAGAACUCUGCCUUGCCGGGUACGUCGGCAGGACUGAUACACAAUGAAACUUACUGCCCGCCCGCACCUUUGUGGGCAUCAGUUCCUUUAGU